rnacentral:rRNA from 1 species
CAGCAGCCGCCACGGUAAUACGGAGGGUGCAAGCGUUAAUCGGAAUUACUGGGCGUAAAGCGUGCGUAGGCGGGUCUUUAAGUCAGGGGUGAAAUCCUGGAGCUCAACUCCAGAACUGCCUUUGAUACUGAAGAUCUUGAGUUCGGGAGAGGUGAGUGGAACUGCGAGUGUAGAGGUGAAAUUCGUAGAUAUUCGCAAGAACACCAGUGGCGAAGGCGGCUCACUGGCCCGAUACUGACGCUGAGGCACGAAAGCGUGGGGAGCAAACAGGAUUAGAUACCCCAGUAGUCCCUGUCUCUUAUAC